rnacentral:lncRNA from 1 species
AGCCAGCACACUGGACCCAGCUGAUUCUAAGGAGCAGAGUGGAUGGCCCAUUACACUUAGAACCCUUGGCAUCCAAAUUGUCAGCAACUCAUCGGCUAGUGUUUCUUUCUUGAAGGGUGAAGUCUCAAUCCUCAGAUGUUCUAGGAGUGAGCAAACACUGGAGAUAUCAUUGUGAGUUUUUCUUGGAGCCAUUUAUAAUUCAAAAUCAUGGAAGUCCCAAGUUCUUUGCCCAAAAAGUACCUUCCACAGAGAAGGCAGUCAAUAAAUGCUUAGUGAAUUUGGCCUCAAAUAUGUCUCAAUCUGUCUUACUGUACAACAUGAAUCCAAGUGAAAAUGAGAAAACAACCAUUUGGAACAACACCUAUGAUGUUUGGAAACAUCUCUUAUGUGUAGGCAAGUUCUUAGUGGCCUUUGGAGGUGUAGGCUAG